CUUGAUGGAGCCGAGCAGCAGCGGCGUCUCCCUGUUCUGCCCAUACGUCGCGAGCACGGCCUGAGCCUC
rnacentral:antisense_RNA from 1 species